rnacentral:rRNA from 1 species
AACGGCCGUACCAUGCUGAAUAUACCGGUUCUCGUUAGAUCACCGAAGUUAAGCAUCAUUGGGCGCGGUCAGUACUUGGGUGGGUGACCACCUGGGGAACACUGCGU